rnacentral:rRNA from 1 species
GACGGAAGGUGCAAGCGUUGCUCGGAAUCACUGGGCGUAAAGGGUGCGUAGGCGGCCGUGCAAGUCUGGCGUGAAAGCCCCGGGCUCAGCCCGGGAAGUGCGCUCGAAACUGCGCGGCUCGAGUGCCGGAGGGGAGAGUGGAAUUCCUGGUGUAGCGGUGAAAUGCGUAGAUAUCAGGAGGAAUACCGGUGGCGAAAGCGGCUUCCUGGUCCAGCACCGACGUUCAGGCACGAAAGCGUGGGGAGCAAACAGG